UUUACACCAGAGUCCAAGGAGAGGCACACUUCCAAGAGCCCUGUACACACUGCUCUGUGGGAAGCCAGGGUGAGGAGCUGUCCCGGAGCAGCCUGGUGGAACUGGCAAGCGGGGGCAGGAGCUGUGGCAGGGACCCUCAGUGGAAGAAGCACAGCAGAGGAAGCAAAGAGACCACCACUGCGUGGACCAGAGGAAGUAGGAGAGCUUUGGAAGGGGCCAUGAAUGGCAAGGUGCAGAACAGAAUUCUAAGCAAAGAGGAUCUCUGGGAUCUGUAAGGUGCCAUAUAUCCAAUUUGUUUCUUCAAGACAAAGAACCUCUAGUGUGAAGCUAACGUGCUGGUUAUGCAGGAGACAUGAACCCAUCAUAUUCUGCUUGGAAAGAGGAGCUCACUGUGUUAAGUCAGGACCUGCAGCAUGCACUCACUACCCAUCGCCCUCUCGGGAGCACCAGCCAUCUAAAUGCUGAGGACACUUCCAUGAAAUGAUUGGCGGUCUAUGCAGCUGACAAAGAAUUCCCUGAAAGAGCCAAGAGAGACUCAGAGAGGCAAAGAGGAAGGAGAAGUAGCUGGUAUAACAGAUCCGAGGCGAUGGGCACAGCAGGCCUCCACCUCAGGUCAAGAGCAGGGGAGAAGCCAAGCAGGUGCCACUCACUGCUGAAGAACAUGUGCCCAGGAGCAUGAAGAAGUGGCUGAGGACCUGCUGGAGCCCCUGGCCUACUCCUUCCCUUCUUGUCUGCACACAACCUUGCCUCCUGCUUCAGGGGAAGUAGGAGCCAUCAAGGAGAACUCCCAGAGUUUUCUACUUCCCCACAGCAAACGCAUCUCCACCCAUAAUUGUCUCUCCUCUCACAGGACACGAGAGAGCAACUUCCCUCUGCUCCCAGGCCAUCCUGACACAGACCCUCAUUACUGCCCUGUCUCCUAUUUGUAAUUCUCCCCCACUCUGCCUCCAGAAAACAUUGGCUACAUUAA